rnacentral:rRNA from 1 species
UGCAAGUCGAGCGGUAGAGAGAAGCUUGCUUCUCUUGAGAGCGGCGGACGGGUGAGUAAUGCCUAGGAAUCUGCCUGGUAGUGGGGGAUAACGUUCGGAAACGGACGCUAAUACCGCAUACGUCCUACGGGAGAAAGCAGGGGACCUUCGGGCCUUGCGCUAUCAGAUGAGCCUAGGUCGGAUUAGCUAGUUGGUGAGGUAAUGGCUCACCAAGGCGACGAUCCGUAACUGGUCUGAGAGGAUGAUCAGUCACACUGGAACUGAGACACGGUCCAGACUCCUACGGGAGGCAGCAGUGGGGAAUAUUGGACAAUGGGCGAAAGCCUGAUCCAGCCAUGCCGCGUGUGUGAAGAAGGUCUUCGGAUUGUAAAGCACUUUAAGUUGGGAGGAAGGGCAGUUGCCUAAUACGUAACUGUUUUGACGUUACCGACAGAAUAAGCACCGGCUAACUCUGUGCCAGCAGCCGCGGUAAUACAGAGGGUGCAAGCGUUAAUCGGAAUUACUGGGCGUAAAGCGCGCGUAGGUGGUUUGUUAAGUUGGAUGUGAAAUCCCCGGGCUCAACCUGGGAACUGCAUUCAAAACUGACUGACUAGAGUAUGGUAGAGGGUGGUGGAAUUUCCUGUGUAGCGGUGAAAUGCGUAGAUAUAGGAAGGAACACCAGUGGCGAAUGCGACCACCUGGACUAAUACUGACACUGAGGUGCG